UACGUAGGGGGCAAGCGUUGUCCGGAUUUAUUGGGCGUAAAGAGCUCGUAGGCGGUGUGUCACGUCGGCCGUGAAAACCUGGGGCUUAACUCUGGGCGUGCGGUCGAUACGGGCAUCACUAGAGUUCGGCAGGGGAGACUGGAAUUCCUGGUGUAGCGGUGAAAUGCGCAGAUAUCAGGAGGAACACCGGUGGCGAAGGCGGGUCUCUGGGCCGAUACUGACGCUGAGGAGCGAAAGCGUGGGGAGCGAACAGG
rnacentral:rRNA from 1 species